CCGAUUUGAGCUUUCUGCUUUGUCCAUUUGUAGUUUGGGGUUGCUGAAACUUAAAGUUAUUAGGUUGGAAAUUUCCAUAUUUAGUAGAAAAGUGGUGGUUGGUUUUUGGAGAGUUAACAGAUGUGACCUCGAUGGUCAUAUCAUAGUCGUAGAGUCCCUUAGUAACUCUCAUUUCUGAGUAAUUAAGACCAACAUUUAAGAGAUCAAGUUGGCUAGUUUCAGUCAGGGAUUUAUUGGACAUUACCUUAAGGGUCUUGUCUGCUACAGUUGUAUACUGCAAAUUCCUUUCUUCAGGAAUGUUUCUGCUUAAAGCAUGAACCUUAUUGUUGCUAGAGUGGGACAAAACGUAAUCUCUAGGUGGGUUCCCUUGAGCAAAAGUCUUGGUACUAUGUGCCUUGGAUAGGUGGGUUUUUCUGCUCCUAAGGAGUGAUCCCUUUUCCUUUAAUAGGUUGGAGGGUGGGACCUUCUAACCCGAGGUGCUAUCGACGGGUUUUACUGAUGCUCCGUUUGGCACAGGAGGUGGAAUUCCCUAUCUUCGAUUGACACAGGGUGGGGUUUUAGAGGGGUGUAGAUUCUUACCAGGUAGUGUUUCAGGAUUGUUUACUUGGGAUGGAUUGAUGCUUCUUCCUAAUUUUUCUUUUAGGGAAACUUACCAGUUUCCACAUAGUGUCUACCAUGUCCACUACAAUGGGCGAUCUGGAGGAUGAGUUAGAACCUGAGGGGGUUGGGGAUUUGUUGCAUAGGAGCAGCUUCUAAGUGUGUGCCCCACUCCGCCACACCCCUUGCAAAGUAUUACCGCACCUUUGUAUUCCACUACUUGUAUAUGAUUUCCGAUGGUUACAGAUUUCUUCACUGGAAUGUUUAAGGGUAUUUGUACGCAGAUGCGUGCGUACGUACCUUCCUCUUAGAGUGGAUGAAGUACACGAGUCAAUCUUUAGCAAAAAACCCAAUUUUCUUCCAAUCCUUUCUAGGAUUUGCUGGUCAUAGAACUCCAUGGGAGUUAGGGUAGUCGGACCCAAAUUGCAGUGUGGUUCAUCGUUGAAUUACUUGGUAUGAAGUUCAACUCCCAUCGAGUAACUGGUAGAAAGCCUCCAACUAUGAACCACGGCCCGCCAUGCAAGGCUUUAAACAUAUUUUCUUCUUUGUUGAAUUUUACGGUGAAGAAAUCAUGUCCCAAAUCAAUAAGCACUAGGGGCUCUGACGGUUUCCAUAACUCUGUAAUUUUGGCUCUGAGUAGUUGGUGUGAGAUCUUCCUACCCAUUAGUUUCACAAUGACUGUGAACCUCCAUGGAGAUAGAUCCGUUCUUUUUCCAGAUCUAAGAGGGGUAUAGGGUUUUUAUCUGGUUUAGCGCCGUCGGAGUGGAAAAGGUGGUCGAAAUUGUAGGAUUUAUUGAGAUUUGAUAAUUUGUCUGUUAGGAUUUCUUUAAAGGAUUGUUUAGGAAGUUUUUUGUCUUCCAUGGAUGUAUCGUCGUUAGGCGGUGGGUCUGGUGGACGUGCCGGGAUGGGUCCGGUGAGUAGUUGGU
rnacentral:lncRNA from 1 species